rnacentral:rRNA from 1 species
GAUGAACGCUGGCGGCGUGCCUAAUACAUGCAAGUCGAGCGAACGGACGAGAAGCUUGCUUCUCUGAUGUUAGCGGCGGACGGGUGAGUAACACGUGGAUAACCUAUCUAUAAGACUGGGAUAACUUCGGGAAACCGGAGCUAAUACCGGAUAAUAUUUUGAACCGCAUGGUUCAAAAGUGAAAGACGGUCUUGCUGUCACUUAUAGAUGGAUCCGCGCUGCAUUAGCUAGUUGGUAAGGUAACGGCUUACCAAGGCAACGAUGCAUAGCCGACCUGAGAGGGUGAUCGGCCACACUGGAACUGAGACACGGUCCAGACUCCUACGGGAGGCAGCAGUAGGGAAUCUUCCGCAAUGGGCGAAAGCCUGACGGAGCAACGCCGAGUGAGUGAUGAAGGUCUUCGGAUCGUAAAACUCUGUUAUUAGGGAAGAACAUAUGUGUAAGUAACUGUGCACAUCUUGACGGUACCUAAUCAGAAAGCCACGGCUAACUACGUG